rnacentral:rRNA from 1 species
CCUGAGAAACGGCUACCACAUCCAAGGAAGGCAGCAGGCGCGCAAAUUACCCACUCCCGGCACGGGGAGGUAGUGACGAAAAAUAACAAUACGGGACUCUUUUGAGGCCCCGUAAUUGAAAUGAGUACACUCUAAAUCCUUUAACGAGGAUCAAUUGGAGGGCAAGUCUGGUGCCAGCAGCCGCGGUAAUUCCAGCUCCAAUAGCGUAUACCAAAGCUGCUGCGGUUAAAAAGCUCGUAGUUGGAUCUCAGUUCCAGACGAGUAGUGCAUCUACCCUAUGCGACGGCUCGGACUGAACAUCAUGCCGGUUCUUUCUUGGUGCACUUCAUUGUGUGCCUCGAGAUGGCCGGUGCUUUUACUUUGAAAAAAUUAGAGUGCUCAACGCAGGCGAGUCGCCUGAAUAAACUUGCAUGGAAUAAUAGAACAAGACCUCGUUUCUGUUCUGUUGGUUUUUGGAAUACGAGGUAAUGAUUAAGAGGGACGGACGGGGGCAUUCGUAUUGCGGCGCUAGAGGUGAAAUUCUUGGACCGUCGCAAGACGAACUACUGCGAAAGCAUUUGCCAAGAAUGUUUUCAUUGAUCAAGAACGAAAGUCAGAGGUUCGAAGGCGAUCAGAUACCGCCCUAGUUCUGACCAUAAACGAUGCCAACCAGCGAUCCGCCUGAGUUACUCAAAUGACUCGGCGGGCAGCUUCCGGGAAACCAAAGUAUUUGGGUUCCGGGGGAAGUAUGGUUGCAAAGCUGAAACUUAAAGGAAUUGACGGAAGGGCACCACCAGGAGUGGAGCCUGCGGCUUAAUUUGACUCAACACGGGAAAACUUACCCGGCCCGGACACUGGGAGGAUUGACAGAUUGAGAGCUCUUUCUUGAUUCGGUGGAUGGUGGUGCAUGGCCGUUCUUAGUUGGUGGAGCGAUUUGUCUGGUUAAUUCCGAUAACGAACGAGACUC